rnacentral:rRNA from 1 species
GAUGAACGCUGGCGGCGUGCCUAAUUCAUGCAAGUCGAGCGAACGGACGAGAAGCUUUCUUUUCUGAUGUUAGCGGCGGACGUGUGAGUCACACGUGGCUAACCUACCUAUAAGACUGGGCUCACUUCGGGCCCCCGGAGCUCAUACCGGAUAAUAUUUUGAACCGCAUGGUUCAAAAGUGAAAGACGGUCUUGCUGUCACUUAUAGAUGGAUCCGCGCUGCAUUAGCUAGUUGGUAAGGUAACGGCUUACCAAGGCAACGAUGCAUAGCCGACCUGAGAGGGUGAUCAGCCACACUGGAACUGAGACACGGUCCAGACUCCUACGAGAGGCAGCAGUAGGAAAUCUUCCGCAAUGGGCGAAAGCCUGACGUAGCAACGCCGCGUGUGUGAUGGAGGUCUUCGGAUCGUAAGACACUGUUAGUUGGGAAGAACAUAUGUUUAAGUUACUGUGCACAUCUUGAGGGUACCUAAUCAGAAGGCCACGGCUAGCUACGUG